rnacentral:tRNA from 1 species
UGCGGUAGCUCAGUUGGUAGAGCAAUGGACUGAAAAUCCAUGUGUCGGCGGUUCAAUUCCGUCUCGCACC